CUGGGCUGAACUGGCCUGAGCUGAACUGGGAUGGGCUGAACUGGGCUGAGUUCAGCGGGGAUGAGCUAAGCUGGGCUAAACUGGGCUGGGCUGUACUAGGUUGAACUGAACUAGGCUAAGCUGGACUGAGCUGGCCUCAGCUGAACUCUGCUGGGCUGAGCUGGGCUAUAUUGGGUUGGGUUGGGCUAAAGUGGGUUCAGCUAGUUGGUUUGGUCUGGCUGAAUCGGGCUUCAGCGAGUCAAGCAGGGUGUACUGUUUUCCUAGGUCCAGUGGCCAAGGUCAGUGAGGCUACAUUGAGUGGGACUGAGCAGGUACGACAAGCCUGGCUGGCAGGCUGAGCCAAACGGAGCUGAAGGAUUUUGGUGGAAUUUGUGGACUGAACUCAGAUGAGUUAGCCUGCUUGAAAUCGGGUCUCCUGGGCUGACGUGGGCCAGGCCGGACCAAGGCAGACUCCCGUGACCUGAGCUGGUCUGAAUCAGCAGACCUAGUGAGGCUGGGAAUGGAGCGGGUUUGUAUCACUGCUCUCAGCCGUCCUGACGCGAGGCCACGUGGACUGGUCGGUCUCGCUGGACUGAGUGGGCAGCGUGGACGAUGAGCUGGGGUCUGGGCUCCGGGCAGGAGUCACCACCUGGGGGAGUGGGGGAGGACUGAUCUGGGCUUUGCUAUGAAUGGGGCCUGUAGUCGGGCUCCCUGGAGCCUCCGCAGGUCAGGACACGAGUCAGACACCUCUGCUCCCCAAGAACCCCCCGUUCCUGCCACUCAGGGCUGCGGGCAGGGUGUCCUGGCCAAAGCCUCCAUCCAGGCCCCCCUCGUCUUCCCCUUGGCCACCUGCUGCAAAGGCACCAUCGCCACUGCCCCGUCCGUGACACUGGGCUGCCUGGUCACGGGCUACUUCCCGAUGCCGGUGACUGUGACCUGGGAUGCAGGGUCCCUGAACAAGAGCGUCGUGACCCUCCCCGCCACCCUCCAGGAGACCUCUGGCCUCUACACCACCACCAGCCACGUGACCGUCUCGGGCGAGUGGGCCAAACAGAAGUUCACCUGCAGUGUGGCUCACGCGGAGUCCCCCACCAUCAACAAGACCGUCAGUGCGUGUGCCAUGAACUUCAUUCCCCCCACCGUGAAGCUCUUCCACUCCUCGCGUGACCCCCUCGGUGACACCCGUAGCACCAUCCAGCUCCUGUGCCUCAUCUCCGGCUACGUCCCAGGUGACAUGGAGGUCACCUGGCUGGUGGAUGGGCAGAAGGCCACGAACAUAUUCCCAUACGCUGCCACCGGCAAGCAGGAGGGCAAGGUGACCUCCACCCACAGCGAGCUCAACAUCACGCAGGGCAAUCGGGGUGCUGACUAUAGGGCUUGUCGGCACGAACAGACCUUCCAGUGGCCCUGCCACGAGGAGGGCAGGUGCCUGGGGCCCCAUGUGCCUAAUGCACGGUAG